CAGCCGAAUUCAGGCAGACACGCAAAACGUGCGCUGCUCAGAAGAAGGAGACUCAUUCAGGUUUCGCCUCGAGGCGGCUCGUGUUUUAUUCAGACCCAGAGCGCGCUGCCAGUCUGCCUGUGAAGGAGGAGCUAUUCUGAACCAGCGCGCGGCCGCUGAAAGCCCUGCCUCGGCACUCGACGCCGAAUAUCGUUCGCUCGAGGGCUUCUGAAUGGGUCCGAUCGCGGCGCCAUAACGCGCGCUUUUAAAGCGCCGCCUUUCACGAGCCCCGGCUAGGCUCUCUCGAACAAAGACGCAAGUGCGCAGGCAGCUGCGGUCCUUGGAAAUGUCGGAGCCGAGUUGCACUGGAGCGCCGUAAAUCAAGGCCAGAGAGCUGAGCCGCUGCAGACGCGAGACCGCCGCGCAUCCGACUGCAGUUGCGAAUGUAACCUUGUCCUGAAGCAGAAAGGACGCCCUGUUGGGGCAAACCUGAGCAAGGCCACAGAAAAAUGGAAAAAGUGUGUGAGCGACUGAUGAGGAGAGGCGUGAUGGAGGGGGAGAGGGCUGGUCACUGUUUGUCAGCGCAGUCGAGCUCAAGUUAAUUGGCUACGGAGCAGAUCAGCAGGAGGCUGUGGGAUUCACAGAUAUGAUGUGAGUUAGGGAGGACGUGUGCACCACCGACUGAGCGGGGGUGUGGCCCAGGUGCCAGUUUACCUUCACACGUGUGUCCGUCA